rnacentral:rRNA from 1 species
AGCAGUAGCCGCGGGAAUACAGAGGGUGCGAGCGUUAAUCGGAUUUACUGGGCGUAAAGCGUGCGUAGGCGGCUUCUUAAGUCGGAUGUGAAAUCCCUGAGCUUAACUUAGGAAUCGCAUUCGAUACUGGGAAGCUAGAGUAUGGGAGAGGAUGGCAGAAUUCCAGGUGUAGCGGUGAAAUGCGUAGAGAUCUGGAGGAAUACCGAUGGCGAAGGCAGCCAUCUGGCCUAAUACUGACGCUGAGGUACGAAAGCAUGGGGAGCAAACAGGAUUAGAUACCCCCGUAGUCCCUGUCUCUUAUAA